AGAAUGAAGGGGGGGAAAAACAAAAGAACUUGUGUUAGCUAGCUUCUAUUUAUAUAUUUUUCUCAUAAGAAAAGCUCACUAAGCUAACGAAUCUAUUUGACGACUGCAGGAAGAAGGGAAAUGGUUACGGCAUGGUCAUCAUCGAGACUGAAAAGAGCUACUUCGAGGAAGUCGUUGAGGUGGCAGCAGCCGCGGAGCCUGACUGCAAAUGCGGCUCUAACUGCGCCUGCGCUGGUUGCACCUGUGGCAAAUGAUAGCCUAUCUGCUAUAAUUGUUACUAUGUAAGCAAGGGAAGAUAAAAUGACACUAGGGUUUGGUUGUGGCAAGUGAUGUAGGAGUGCCAUUCUAUGUAGUGGUACCAAGGCUGGGAGUAAGCUGAUGUCCAGCUAUCUCACCUAAGUAAUAUGUCUGUGUCCUAUCCUGUUUAACGGACUUGUACUAAAAUAAAAUCUGGCUUUGGUUUGAGUAGUGA